GACGAACGCUGGCGGCGUGCUUAACACAUGCAAGUCGAACGGAAAGGCCCUGCUUUUGUGGGGUGCUCGAGUGGCGAACGGGUGAGUAACACGUGAGUAACCUGCCCUUGACUUUGGGAUAACUUCAGGAAACUGGGGCUAAUACCGGAUAGGAGCUCCUGCUGCAUGGUGGGGGUUGGAAAGUUUCGGCGGUUGGGGAUGGACUCGCGGCUUAUCAGCUUGUUGGUGGGGUAGUGGCUUACCAAGGCUUUGACGGGUAGCCGGCCUGAGAGGGUGACCGGCCACAUUGGGACUGAGAUACGGCCCAGACUCCUACGGGAGGCAGCAGUGGGGAAUAUUGCACAAUGGGCGGAAGCCUGAUGCAGCAACGCCGCGUGCGGGAUGACGGCCUUCGGGUUGUAAACCGCUUUCGCCUGUGACGCAGCGUGAGUGACGGUAAUGGGUAAAGAAGCACCGGCUAACUACGUG
rnacentral:rRNA from 1 species